rnacentral:lncRNA from 10 species
GAGGACCACUGAAUGCAUCCUGCUUGGAAGAACCCAUGUGGGGUUACGCAUCGCAACCACUCAGAAGCUCUGUGAACUUGUGCUCUGAUUCUCAGUCUGCUCACCGCGAGAUGGAACUAACACUUCUUCUCUCCCAACAUGUCUGAGAAGACACAAUGAAAAAAUUCUUUGAGAAGCAUUUGUUGGAAACAGUUUAGAAACUCUUCUUAGGUGCUGAGCAACUCUGGAAAAAGGAAAUGCACAUAAGAGGACCAGCCACCUAAAAUCAUUUCCUGACAAGGCAGGAAAUUAGUGCACUUAUUAAGAGCCUUAGAAUUUCCAAAUGGAAAGAACCUAAGAGACAGUGCAGAUGCUCUCAUUUAAUCAAGAAUCUCACUCCAAGAGCUUCAUCAAGAGAGUCACAAUUCUCAAAAGCAUAAGAGGCAAUCGACUGCAUCUAACGAGAUACAACCAGGAUAUGGACGUCUUCUCAGUAUUUCACUUCUUGUCGUCAAUCCAGUGGAAACUCCAAAAUACCACUGAAUGAACGAUUCUCAAGUCAACACUGAAGAACGCAUCAAGAUUUCCAUUAAAAAAAAACAGAAAACCCAGCAUGUACCCAGGCUUUUAUUCAUUUGUAUACCUAUAAGAAGCAGCUGCAACUUUACAUACAAGUGAUUUCUUUUUACAUAAAAUGUUUUUUGCCAUUUUUAGUCACUGAAGCAUUAAAAAAAAUAAAUACAGUGGAAGCAUUUGAAAGGGCUUGCUUUAAAAAAUAAUUUCGUUGGUUUACUGAAUGACUAGUUCUUGGUUUUUUGAAAAGUUUGUCGUACAUCCUGUUCCCAAUUCAAUUUGCUUUUACCCUCAUAGACCUCUGUGCUUUUAAUUGCUACUCUGAUUUUUGAGGCAAAGAUUUCUUUCUCCUGAAGAUGUUCUGCUGCCUGAGAUAAAUGAUAUUCGGGGAUUUUGAAAGUACUUUUAAG